rnacentral:rRNA from 1 species
UACGGGGGGGGCAAGCGUUGUUCGGAUUCACUGGGCGUAAAGGGUGCGUAGGUGGCCAGGUAAGUUUGGUGUGAAAGCUCGGAGCUUAACUCCGAAAAGUCAUUGAAUACUAUCUGGCUGGAGGGUCGGAGGGGAGACUGGAAUUCUCGGUGUAGCAGUGAAAUGCGUAGAUAUCGAGAGGAACACCAGUGGCGAAGGCGAGUCUCUGGACGACUCCUGACACUGAGGCACGAAAGCCGGGGGGAGCAAACAGG